rnacentral:rRNA from 1 species
GGACCCGCACAAGCGGUGGAACAUGUGGUUUAAUUCGAUAAUACGCGAAAAACCUUACCAAGUUUUGACAUAUUAGUCAUAUGUUUAGGAAACUAUUCAGUCAGACUUUAGCUGGACUAUUACAGGUGUUGCAUGGCUGUCGUCAGCUCGUGUCGUGAGAUGUUGAAUUAAGUUUCGUAACGAGCGUAACCCCUUAUUUUUUAGAUUUGCUAUUAAAAAAAAGUAAGCACUUAAAAAACUGCCAUAUUUUUGGAGGAAGUGAGGAUGACGUCAAGUCAGUAUGGCCCUUACGAGUAGGGCUAGCACACGUGCUACAAUGGCGCAUACAGAGGGCAGCCACCUGGUGACAGGAG